rnacentral:misc_RNA from 1 species
AAGCCCUCCUCUCAGAUAACUCCAUUCCUGUCAGUUUAUAGCCAAAGCAAGAAAAAGAAAAUCAGCUCGGAGGCAGGUACUACUGAGCUAAAGCUCAUUGGUUAAAAUUUCUACUUUCAUAUGUCAAACGCAGCAAUAAAUAGUUCAUUCAUUGCAGAAAAAAAAUGAGUGAUCAAGGGUAGAAAGAUUUAUCAUUUAUCUUUGCACCUUUCCACGAUACCAGGGAAGUUUGUCC